rnacentral:tRNA from 1 species
UGCCCGGUCGUCUAAUGGUAGGACAGUUGGCUCUGAACCAACUAAUUCAGGUUCGAAUCCUGGCUGGGCAA